GGGAGCCACACGUCAUUUUUGGCUUUUCUGUAUUGGUGUGCGGGGCUGCUACGUGCUCGGCUUAGAGAAUUAGAAGGGUCCGUCUCUUUUUGCCCACUGGAGUCUGGCACUUGGGGCACUGCCUCCCUGUUGGUGGUGGUGGUGAUGGAGCUGUAGGAGGGAGGCUAGCAGUGGGAGCUUCUCCUGCUGGGCUGGAAGACAAGCAGAAGGAAGAGGCACCACCGCAUGCUGGAGGCUGGAGCCACGGCGGCUUGCCUCGCUGCGGUUGGUGGUGACAUCGGAGACCGCAGCUACGAGCUAAAGCAAGCUCAGUACUACUGGUGAUUUGGAAAGUGCCUUCAUAUUGUUUUUGCCAGUUCUCACCUGAGAACCCUGCAGAUGCCCCAUGAGAGGUAAAUCUAAGGCCAUUUAGGGAGGGGCUGUGAUCUUGGUUCUGAAGCUGUUGGUCUCAGAGGCCUGUUGGUCUCACUUCCCUGUCCUUGAUUUGUUCUCUCCUACCACCUUUGGUUUCCCUACAUUCUAGUCGUUAGACGGAGUCUGUGCCUUGCCACACUUCUCUCUUUAAUCCAUAUUAAUCCUAGUGGUGAGGAGGUGAUGUGGUGGGCAGGGAAGCAGUAAAUGUUCUUGACAUUGAAUUCCAAUGAUUUCUUGCUGUGCUUUCUCUAGGCUGUGCCCUUUACAAGGAGUCUCCAGUGAUACAGCUGAUUUUCCUCCAUACUCUAAUCCCCUUCAUGGCUGCAGCAUCAACAGAUUGCUCUCUUGAAUCUGACCCCAGUUGUUUUAUUAAUUAUACCCCUUUUUGUGACACAGGAAGGCUAAGAUGAAGCUGUCUUGGAUGGAAAAGAAUUCGUUCUCCUCACAUGGAAUAAAGAUCUUGAAAAGUAUUUUUUCUAUGUAGGGUCUGUCCGGACAAAGUUCUGGGCAUAUUUAUCAGAGAACAGUUCUCCUGAUAUCAGAGCCAUGAGGGAAUCUGUUUGGAUUCUCAUCUUGAGAACCCAGAAGUUUCUGGAGGGAAAUUUCAUAAAAGUGUGGGGUGCGUGGCCCCCAGGAGUUCUUACCCUACCCUAUCCACACUUGUCUGCUAGGCAUUUAUGGAAUUAUCAUGUAACUGUUUCCACCAGCUUGUGCUUUCAAUGGAAGAAUCACCCAAUUUAUAAAUUUAGAAAAGAAACUUUAUUUCUGAUAAAUGGGUGAAGCUGCAGGAUGGCCAUCUUAACAGGCCGGAAAGCAAAGCCUCCCACAGAGACAGUGAGCAGGCACUUCAAGAGAGGGAAAGGUGAGAAAUGAGUUCAUGCAAAUGGAUUGGCCAAGUGCACAUACUCAGCGGGCUAUAGAAGGAGCUAUGAAUAUUCACAUGGUGGGCAGGCUGUCAUGCAUAAUAAGCAAACACAGAUGUUACAUGCAUUUCAUGUUUGCUUUGGGGCGAGGACUUAAGAACUAAACAAAUUACAGUUGGGCCGUGUACAUCAAAAGGGCUUUGUGCAGAGGCAGAAGGACACACAGUGCACAGCCUCCAUAAUUUGGCAAGGACAAGUCCAUGGUGAGUGGUCUCUUCUCAGGAGAAAGUUACUGAAAUCAGUCCUUCUCCAUUCAAAGCUCUUUUUAUGGCUGUGGAACGGGCACAGUUACCCAGUGUCUUGAGUUCCAUGAGCUGCAAAUAUUUUAAUAUUCUUAUCGUAGGACCAGUGCUUUUUAGCUGCUAGAGAAAAUGAAAAGCCCUGUGGCAGUUACAACAUAGUCUAUUUUUUAAGUGUAGGAGUGAGUGACUUAAUUUUUGCUUGAUGUGGACUUGGGUCUUGUUUAUAAUUUGGUAUCUUAUUGCCACAACAAGAUUGUUCCAUCAGUCUGAUGAUCUCUAUUUUAAUGUCUUUCUAGUUUUUGGGUCUUGGUUUUCCCUGCAAUUUGAUUUCUUAAAUAGAUCCAAGAAGUUAUUGAUAAUCAAUUUUCCAGGCUUUCAUUGUUGUAGGAAUGUAGGGGAUGACUGACAUGCUCUUUACAUAUUAAAGUGGAAAACAGAAGUAGCUUCAGAGAUCACCAUUGACCUGACAAGCAGCAGGAAUCUCAUCUCGUUAAGUGUAAGUGGCACCACAGAUGUAGCUGAACAUGCAGUGACACAGAAGACCCACACCACAGAACACAUGAAAAAUUUUAUGAUUCUGAGGUUUUCUCCAGGAAGCUGGAACUCAGGUGGUACUACAGAGAUGGACUCAGUUAUCUCUCAGGUGAUACUAUGUUUUGGAAGCUUAUUUCCACUCCUGCACUGGACUCAUUAGCUGCACCUCGACCAGCACACCUAAAACAGAAACUCUCAAUAAUUAAGCACAAAACUCACCAAUAAUAAAGCUGUCCCCAGAGAAGGUGCAGAGCAGGGAACUCUGCUUUUGGGAACAUGCUGGUGUGCAGGGAGUGUCAGGAGCGUGACCCAUUUCCUUCUGCUCCCCCUGCUGGCUUCACAGACAACUGCAUCCAGGAGCUUUAUGUUGCAAAGUAUAUAAAAUAUGUUAUAAUUGUAGAGAAAUGUAAUACACAGAUUAAGGAAUGAGGAACGUACAUGAAAUUAAACAUAAUAUUAUCACGGAUAAGACAACAAACAAAUAUUAAAAACCUGUGUGUGUACGUGUUUGAGAUAGUAUUCUUGUAAAUUAAAUCAUAAUUUGUUUAUAAAGUCCUUCAACUAUGUACAAAAUCUUUGCCUUUGAUUGCCACAAAGAUGAAGAAGGAUGUGGCACCAGGACUCCAGGGCCAUGCUAGUGAUUUCCCCUCCUAUCUCCUGAGGACACGGUGCUUCCAACUCUGAGGAUCAGGAUGCUGAAAUUGGCUGUGUGAGAAGAGAAAAUGGGAUUUUCUGUGGGAACAGACUAGUGUGAAUGUAACUUUCAAGCAAGAAACCAGCUUCUGCUCUCUGACAUAUAUCACCUGGUUUGUGCCAAGAGCAUUAACCCUGGGAGCUCCUCCCAAAAAAAUGGUUGUGCACAGGGGAGAUGUUAAGCUAUGGCUGCUCCUGGGACUCAUCGGAGAUUCCUGAUGGGCAUCUGUAAUCAGGAAGUCAUCAACAGCCUUGCCGGACUUAACUUGCUCCACAGGUUAACUAGGAAGCACCACCAAACUCCCACAUUUCCCCAUCACUAGUUGUAAGACUGGCAUCCUGGCCUGACAGUGUCUACAGCCUCACCCAGCCUCCUGUGUGUUUUUCUGCCUGCCUUACUUACAUCUCACUUUGGGACAAAUAAGAAAUUUUUUAAAUAAACUUUUCUAAUCUAGAGACCUCAGUGGUAGGCACAGAAACACAAAUAUAGAGAGGCUCCCAGGGAAACUGUUCGAUGGAGAGGAAGCCACAGACCCUGAAGGAAAGCGGCCCUUGACCUUCAACUGCACCUGCCCUGGGGAUGCCCCUAACUUCUGUGGGAGUGAGUGCCCUCUGCAGCCCAGGCUCCUUCCUUCUCUCUGCAGGAUAUUUUGCGUUUUGGCUGACACUGGUGUUCCCUCACUUGGUACCUUAUGUACAAUAAUACGAGGCCAUGUUCUCAGCUCUGACUGUUCAUUCACAGGUACAGUGAGUUCUUGGCAUUGUCUUUGGAAA
rnacentral:lncRNA from 1 species